UGAAGUUAAGUUGGUAUUGUUUGCACCGCCGUGGAAAACAUUUAAAAAAAUUUUGUUUGUCUAUUUACUCUCUGUCCACUGUGUAAAGUCCUUCCUAGUUGUAGCUCAAAAGUGGACUUUUUGUUCUUCGCACCCCCCGCCCCCCUCCUUUCCCGUCUGAGCACAUGCGUUAGCUACACUGUACUCUUUGUAGGUCAUUAAUGAACAGGACCCAGCAUAGAGCAUUGUGGAACUUCUGAAGAAACGAAUACAGAGUCUGCCUAAUAAAAAACUUGCUGCUUUCUUCUGUUCAAAUCACGAUCAACGAUAAGUGAAGUAAAUAAAUAAAAAAAUUAAGCAUUUUGACCACUCUAGCGGGCGAAGCUCAGCUACAGCGGUAACUCCCAGUACGCGCGCUAUUACGUAAGUCAUAAUGUAACUUUUCCAUGAUUACGUAACAAAGGUUGCUAAGGUUUCUCGCCAGAUUUUCUACAUACACCAAACUGAACGGUCGACAUUUUUUCGCUCUUCUAUUUUUCUUAAAAAUGUCCCACAGGAACCCAGUUUAUCGGGCCGGCUCGAUCAAGAAUUUAUCCAGCAAAGAGAAAGAUAUUAUUCUUCAGCAAAAGGUUAUGAGCAAGAACAAAUCCAAGAUGACAGGCAUGAUCAGGGCCGUGGCAGGGGGUGGGGCACUGGUGGCACGUUCCCCCCCAAUAUUUUCGAAAAUUAUAAGGAAAUAACCAAUAGGGGCGUGGCUGUGCCCCCAAAUACUAUGUUACAUGUUUAUGUGUUGUGCCCCUCCCAUUUCUUUAGGCCUUCUCAGGCACUGAUGAUGGCCCAAAUUUCUUCUCGGCACGAAACACAUUCAUCUUGUUAAUAAGAAUUAUUAUCAUUGGUUUAUUUCAAAGAUUGUUUAUUAAAUUUUCUAUUGUUAAUAUCUAAAA